rnacentral:tRNA from 1 species
AGUAAGAUGCCUGAUUAAAGGAUUAUUUUGAUAUAAUAAAUAAUGUAAAAUUUACUCUUACUA